rnacentral:lncRNA from 1 species
CAUUCAGCAUCCACUCAACGUCUACCUACCUUCUGACUAGUUUGCCACUCCUACUCCCCCUUUGUUCUUCCAUUUUUAUUACUUCUAUCUCUUGUUUGCUUUAAUAGAUAAAGUAAAACAAAAAUAAAAACAAUAAGACUUGGAUCUAUGAUUUAUGACAUUAUAAGUGUGACAUGAUUCAUGACAUUGAAAGGGUAAAAGUGUCACAAAGUCUAAUUCUUGCAUAUGCUUAUACUUGUGGGUCACAUAUCUUGAUAGGAAUAUCAUAUUGACUUAGUUGUUGACAAUUGUGAUAUAGUUCUUAGCUCAUGAUUCAUACCCUUGCUAUUCAAAGUGCUUAGAAAUUUAUUUUUUGAAAAUAUCAUAAAACCAUAGUGUCACUUACUCCUCAAUAGUAAGAGAAUUCGUACCACAACCAUAUAUGUUCAUACCUUGUUCAAAACCCUUCUUUAUAUGCUACUUGUACUUGUGUUGAGUUUAGUCAAACCUUGUGACCCUAGUUGAGAAUUAUGUCAUAGUCCCAAGAUCAAGAUCACACACACACACCACAUAUAUAUGCUGCUUCUACAUUGGAAGUACGCAAAAAACAUGCCAUCCAUUUCCACCAUAUAGAUGCUCCAUGUUUUAAGGUUUAGAAUAUCUCUCUCUAAGUAUUGUUUAUAAGAUGAGACACAAAGGCUAUGCUUAGUAAAAAAGUGGGCACAUGAAGGUCCAUUGCUUUUGAAAAAAAAGAGAAAAUAAAAAAAAGCUAGACAUGUCUCAAAUAAAAUAGAGAGAGAGAUCUUAUCAAAUAUAGGAGCAUUCUAUUCUAAUCAUUUUACAGACACUUACAUAUCUUGAUCUAGGAUUAUGACAUUCUUCUCCUUGGAUCCUUGUUUUGACUUUACAAUAGAUACAAUGCAAGUAUGCUAUCUUGUUCCUCCUACCUGAGCCCCAUAAGCCUAAUAGAUGUAGGAUGAAACAAAAGAAGACAAUCUUAUGCUAUGCCUUGGUGAGGAAUCCUAUACUUACUGAGUGACUUGAGAGUACUAUUAGAGGAGUAAGGAUGAACUAUGUGCUUUUUUUUAAAACAUUUAUCAAAAACUCUAAGUACUA